UUCGUGUGCUGCAAAUGGUGGGGUGGAGACACGAUCGUCCUUGAUUACUUUCCAGCUCGUCCAGUGGAAGAAAAAUUAAAUACAACGAUCUGUACACAAUGGAAACAGUGGAAAGAUAACUGAACGGUUUGAAAGUGAUAUUUAAGAAGCUGCAAUUGGCUCAAUAAACAGCAGAUGGCAGGAGGGAUCACUAUCUGAAGGCCAACCUGUUGCAGAGCAUCUAUAUGGGACUCAUCGUGACAUCCACAGAAAGGGGAAACAUAGGGUACCUUGGGAGACAUCAGUGAAAUUGCCCUGGGAGAAAAUAACAGCAGCAAUAUCUAUCCCCAGCCAGAGAAAUUAAGAGCAGACGCUGGCAUCCAUUACAGCUCCUGACGGAUAGCAGGCAGCAUGCUGAGGAUUCAUAGGGGAACACUGUCAAACACCCUGCCGCAUAUAUAGAAGAGCUUCCAGAAGACUUACACAUAAGAUACUCCAACAUAUGCAUAAAUUCAGCACACAGCUCUGCAGAGCCCUAUGAUCCUACAAUAUUGAUUAAAGGAGAGGAAGCUGGGUCGGUGGAUAGAUUAACAAGAGUGCGGCCAGAAACUGCAGGAGAAGCUGCAAGAAAAAAAAUUUGGAAGACUAAUUUAACCACCUUGCUGACACGUGUUUCAUUUGGUCAGCUAUCAACUGGCAUGGUGAGCAUAAUUGUCUGGCUUAAACUGCUACAAGCUUUACCAAGGGGAGCAAAAUAUUUAUAUACGCAUUUUACUGCACAUACCUCGCAUGCACAAUAUUUAAUUCACUUGGCUUGAUGCAUAGUUACUGCAUUUUAAAUAUUUCUGUGACUGUUAAUAGAUAUGUGAGUGAACCUAUUUCAGGGUUAAUCCAAAUGAUUGUUGUCCCUUUAUAUCUUCUUGGAAGGGAAUAUCAGCAGAUCCUAUAACUACUAACUACUGAGACAAUGAUGCCCUUAUACUCCUUGUUAUUCAUAGUCAGGCCAAUAAACAGCAAAUAAGCUGCUGUAAUACUCAAACUGCCCUGUUAAUGUCAACAGAAAAGCUGGGCAUGUGGAUUUACAUGAGCAUGUAUGUCUUUUUAGCCCCACUAACAAUACGGGCCAGUGGAUUUCUAUGACGACGAGUGUGGUUAAAAUAUUUUUACAACUCAAAAUUGCAUGUGCUGCAUAUAGUGGUUAUCCCUUGACCUUGCUCUGUAGCACCUUGAGGAGGUUAAAAGUGCUAUCUAGUGAAAUAUCUGGACAUUUAGUAAACUGAUUAAACUUACCUGUUGAUCAUUCACCUUGACCCACAGUCAAAAUUCUUCAGUUUAAGUUGGAUUCAGCUUAGCAUGCUAAAAUGAUAAAUACUGUCAGUCUAAAAGGGUUAUUCAGUAUUUUUGGCUGAAAAAUGUCCUUUGUUUGCCUCUUCUAUUUCUGUGUGUGUUGCUUCAGUGCUAAUGUGCGGAUGUCAGCGGUGCACCAAGGACAUUGGGGGUUCAAAGAGUCCUGUACUGAAGAGCACCACAAAGAGCUAAUGAGUAAUGCGCAGCACAACACCUUUAUCUUUCUUCUUUAAUGUGACUCUGGCUUAACAGCAGAAUAUUUGCAACCUCACCGUCUUUGCACAAUUAGGAUUUUAGCUUAAACAUCAACUAAUUGUAAGUACAGUUGCAUAGAGCAUACAGCUAAUACGGCUACCAUCUGUUAGUCUUAGCCUUUUACCAAUUCUGAAUAUGAUAAGGAAAAUCAACAGCUCAAUUACUCUUUCUUUAGGCACUUAAAGGCUAGAUUGACAAAGUAGUUGCGAACAGAUCCGCUCAGUAGAAUCCAUAUCAACUCCAAGUCCAAUUAAUAAAAGCAAGAGUAGUCUAAAUGAGCUGCAUGUUCAGUGAAUGAAUUAGUAGAAAAGCUAUUCAGUGGUGUAGAAUGUGGACAUCCAGCACGAUCACUCCAGUAAUUACUAGAGACAAAGUAUACGAGAGAAAGACCCAGUCAGGGUUUGUCUUUAGCAUCAGGGUGCUGUCUGAAGUAUCUGCAUUGCCUACCUACUGAGCAGGGGAGAAAAACAGGACCCACUGAGGAAGCAUAAUUCACUUCUCAGCAAUAUUAUAGAAAUAUCAUAGAUCAUCGCUUGUAUAAGCACUCAGCGUCCCACUGUUUGGUAAAUAUUGAUAAAGUUGCAUCAUUCAGAGGCAAAAGAAUGAAGCUCUUUGUCACACAGUGGAUGGAAUGAUUUUAUAUCCUGCCUUGUAGCAUGAUGGAUGAUGAAAUGAUGAAAUGCUGGCCUAAAAAACAAAAGUGAACAAACAAAACAGCAAACUCGGCUAGAAUACCCAAAGGACAGUCACUGGAGAAGGAAAAAGGAGAUUGAUAUUCUAUCAACACUGUUUGUUUGUUUUGCUGUAAAUCUACUGAGAAUAUGCCUGCACAUAUUAAUAGAAGGAAAGCUCUAUAUGACUGUCAGCAGUAUUGCUCCCCAGAAACUAUAUGUGGAGAUCAAAUAUUUGUACUGAUUUUGUCCAUGCUUUGGUAUUUGUAACAAUACUAUGUUUGGCGGAGUGCAUAAUUUAUUUCCCUGCUGUUAAACUCUAGAAAUUGAAAUUUGAUCAAUAUCUCAACAAAUAGGCUGUGGAGUUUCCUGUAAAAUAAUUUGAAGAACUAUUUUAUUGUUGCAUGGACAGCACUUUAAAUAUAUUUUUUACGUAUAUUUUCCCCGUUGCUUGUAUGAUUUUUGUGUUUUUGUCAUGAACUCACUCAGUGCUGCAGUUAUUAAUUAUAAGCAGCGGGUCAUUAUCUUGCAGCACUAUUACAGUGUAACUUUGACAAAAAAAACAAAAAACAAAAACAAAAACAGCCUUCAAGCAUAAUGGAUUCGACUCAAGAAAGCUUCAGCUGUUGUUCAUACUGUAUGAAAUAAAUGGAAAACAAAGAAUGCCUGGAGCGGUAGAAAAGAGCCCAAUCCAUUUUUAUAAGGCUAUACUAUUGUUUACAAAGCAAUAAGAUGUGUAAUGUUCAAGUAGAUGUUUAAGGUCAAAAACAGGAUCCAAACAAGGAGAACGAAAGACGGCCAGGCAAACAAGAAAUAACGACAAGAAAACUACACUUACUUUCCAGCCCAGCAUUCUGGCAAAGAGUGUAAUAGAUCCGUGGGUUGGACUCUGUGGGCAGUAUUUAUUUUUAAGGAUAUAUUAUUUUGUAUAUACAUAUAUACAUUUUGUCAUCUUUGUUCUUCUUUAAAGUAUUUUAAGAAGUUUGUAGUGCAGUAUAACCAGAUAAGGAAAGCGUGACUGAUCUUACAUAGGGUGAGUGAUGGAUAAUAGGUAUUUAUUUGUAAAUAACUGGACAUGAAUAACUUGAGCUUAUUAGAUAAUAUUAUAAUACAGUAUAUUUCUAACUAAGUAGGCCUUCAUUCUCUUUCUGUUGACAAGACUUUCUUUAAAGAUAUAACACAUCAACUUAUGUAAGGCGGAUGUGAAAUUUAAAAGUCAGAGAUCAGAUGUAACAUUAUAUUUAUUUCCUAAAUGAUGCCAAUAUAAACGAAGGUAGUACAAUUUCAAGCGUAGUUUUAGAGAUAAAAGCCAUUUUAUAAAAGUUUGACCUUAUUUGACCUUGAAGAAGAGGUCAAAGGUAAAAAAUAAUGUGAUAUUUAGAAUCACCAUGUAUCAUUCUCUAUAUGCCUAUAUGUUUUACAUAUAAGCAAUUGCAAUAAAAAAUGUAGUUUUUAAUAGCCAUAUAUAGGACCAGUCAAUGUAUUGGCCUUGAAGGAGAGGUCAGAGGUCAAACGUGAAUUGAUAUUUUAAACCUUUAUAGAGUACUUUCUACUUCUUGACAAUACACACCACAUUUGUUAGAAUCAUAGUUGCUAUGUUUUCAUUUUUUCUGGUCAAAUUACAACCAAUAAAUUAUUAAGUUGAUCUUGAAGACACUGAUGGAUAAUGGACUGUUAACACACAUCUACACGUCUGCAAAGUUUUAUCAGAAUUCAUUAAACACUUUUCGAACAAUCACGUUUAAAGACAGAAUGAAAUGCACGCAAACGCCACCAAAAACAAAAAAUAAAAAUCUGUAAUUUGUGUGCUGAGAUAUGGACUAGAUCAUGUCACUGGGGAUCAUCAGGAACCAACAAAGAGCUCCUGGUGCACAGGGAGGAAAAUACUGGAGGUGAAUCCGCUACUCUGAAAAGACAAGACAUAUAGGAUUUGUGGUAAGUGGGUGUGUAAUCCAGAAGGAUUACACUAUGAUAGGUCUGAAUUCAUCUUAGCUGCAUUGUUUACCAGCUAUGUAAGUACACUAUAAUGAUCUAAGAUCAGCUUUUUCGGGCUGGUCAUUUUCUGUGAAGAUGAAGAAUUUUUGCUGCUCAGUUUUGUGUGUAUGCCUUAUGUCAGGAUUCUUUUAAAUUUUUUUUUUUACUCAAGCUUCCUUCUAUAACUAGUCAAAAAGACCAACUGCCUUGAACUAUUUCAUUUUUCCAGCUAAGAAAUAGGGCUUCUCCAGCAGUUCAGUAUGCUGAACGACUCUACUCGCUACAUUAUUUACACCAGAAGUGUUCAUAUCUUUUUGGAUCUCAGAUCUUUUUAUG